CCUACGGGUGGCUGCAGUGGGGAAUAUUGGGCAAUGGAGGCAACUCUGACCCAGCAACGCCGCGUGAAUGAUGAAGGUCUUCGGAUUGUAAAGUUCUGUUAUGGGGGAUGAACACAAUGACGGUACCCCAAUAGCACGCCACGGCUAAAUACGGGCCAGCCGCCGCGGUAAUACGUGGGGGGCAAGCGUUCUCCGGAAUGACUGGGCGUAAAGGGUGCGUAGGGGGUUUUGUAAGUUGGCGGGGUAAUUCCGGGGCUCAACCUCGGCGCUACCGCCAAAACUAUUAGACUAGAGUGCAGGAGAGGUAAGUGGAAUUCCUAGUGUAGCGGUGGAAUGCGUAGAUAUUAGGAGGAACAUCAGGGGCGAAGGCGACUUACUGGGCUUUUACUGACACUGAGGCACGAAAGCGUGGGGAGCAAACAGGAUUAGAUACCCUAGUAGUC
rnacentral:rRNA from 1 species